CGUGUACGUACAAGCAGUGGGAGCCUCUUUAUGGGGUGACUGCGUACCUUUUGUAUAAUGGGUCAGCGACUUAUAUUCUGUAGCAAGGUUAACCGAAUAGGGGAGCCGAAGGGAAACCGAGUCUUAACUGGGCGUUAAGUUGCAGGGUAUAGACCCGAAACCCGGUGAUCUAGCCAUGGGCAGGUUGAAGGUUGGGUAACACUAACUGGAGGACCGAACCGACUAAUGUUGAAAAAUUAGCGGAUGACUUGUGGCUGGGGGUGAAAGGCCAAUCAAACCGGGAGAUAGCUGGUUCUCCCCGAAAGCUAUUUAGGUAGCGCCUCGUGAAUUCAUCUCCGGGGGUAGAGCACUGUUUCGGCAAGGGGGUCAUCCCGACUUACCAACCCGAUGCAAACUGCGAAUACCGGAGAAUGUUAUCACGGGAGACACACGGCGGGUGCUAACGUCCGUCGUGAAGAGGGAAACAACCCAGACCGCCAGCUAAGGUCCCAAAGUCAUGGUUAAGUGGGAAACGAUGUGGGAAGGCCCAGACAGCCAGGAUGUUGGCUUAGAAGCAGCCAUCAUUUAAAGAAAGCGUAAUAGCUCACUGGUCGAGUCGGCCUGCGCGGAAGAUGUAACGGGGCUAAACCAUG
rnacentral:rRNA from 1 species